GGAAACUGGGCGCACACACCCUCGGAUUGACGUGCGCACGCGCACCGGUUACCUUCAGGAGCGCCGAAGAAGGAAAGAAGGUUGGAAUGUCGGUGUCCAUACCUGAUUCUAAGCGAGGGAGAGGGAAGGGGGCGGGGUGGCCUCAGAGUUUUAAACUUGGGGAGUAAAAAGAAGUCUUGAGUUGGGAGAGAUGGGUGUCCCUGGUAGUGGAUGAACAAGUGUCCCCUGCAGGACUUAGUCCCCCAACCUGAGGUCGCCCCAAGAAGAUUAUGGGUCUCCGGGGGGAGUCCCUGGACGCCAGUUUUCCCAGAAGUCAGAUUCAAGUGAUUAGAACCAGAGACCCGGCUCUCCCCCAGCUAGAGCAGCCCAGGUUCCCUCUAGCGCCAGAGCUGCUGCUCUGCCACGCCGGCCAAUGGGAGGUAUUAGUGUUUAAGUAACUGCUUGGGUCACAGUAGGGGGUGGGGAGCUUUUCUGUUACAGAAUUCUAAAGGUCCCUCAAGCUUGGCUUCUAGGAAGGAAUUGGUUAUUUUUCUCCACUUGGGAUGCCGGAAGUAACUAGAAUCAAUUUGUUGCUAGGCAACGUGUUUUGAAGGACGCGUGUUUGUUGGACUCAAAUCUGGAUUCGACUUUCACAUGGUAGACACAUAAUAUCAGGUGUACUCCCUAUUUAAUCUCUGGAGUUGCUACCCGCUGAGGAUAUGUACCUUGGUAGAUGGUUGUGAAGCUAAAAUGACAUAAAAAUGUAUAAAGCUCUGACAUGUGGAAGAUGCUUAAUAAAUAACAAAUUUUAUUAUUAUUAUAAUAAAAAUAGAACCAGCUGGACCAUUUCCGGAACCAAGAGAAUACAGAGACGUGGCCAUUUUUUAAUUCUCUUAGUCAUCUGUUCACAUUCAUUCUUUAAAUCUCCUGUGAGCCCUUGAUGAUAGGUAGGAGGCAAAGGAAAAAUGCCAGAAUGGAAGUUUUUGAAAAGAACUCAAUGGAGUCAUUGACAAAUACAUCCCUAGUUUGAUAAGGACAUAGCAGGCCACUGCCUCCUCUAUUACAGGAACACCCUUACAUAGAAAAUGU
ensembl:lncRNA ERICH2-DT ERICH2 divergent transcript